ensembl:lncRNA
CACGCGAUGAUGGUCACAUGAUCACAGGUGAAAGAUGACUAGAAAUAGAAUCCAAUGAAGUCAUCAGUCUCUCAAAUCUAAUGCCUGGAAGUCAUUAACAUUCUUCAGUCUGAAGGAGGCACACACAAGAGACACACUCACACAAGAGACACACUCCAUAUUUUAGACUUUAAUCUUCAAUAUUUGGACACUCGAAACUACAGAACUCACGGUAAAUUCAACAGCUGGAAUAACACUGGGAUAACAUUAUAUAAAAGUGAAUAGAACCACCUGGAAUAUAUCACAAUGUCCAUCCAGGGCCACAAGGUCAUGGGGCCACAUCACCCAACUCCUCCCCAAGUGGAGAGGACCAAUGCAAACAGAGCCAGUCGCUACAGAGGGCUGAUCAACCCGCGACAAAAGGAACAGCAGAUAUCACAAAAGACACUGCGCAGACCUUGGGUUCCACCGAGCCACAAUGACUUGGGCAAACUAUGUUUGUAUGUGGAAACAAGUCGUCUGGAGAGGAGCGAUGAUGAAAGAAGAAACCUGGCAAAGGAUGAAUACCAGGAUGUUCUGAGGACAAGACCGAGUGUAUGGGAAGAGGUCGAGGCUGUACACGAUGAGAGAAACAUUCAGAGUAAACUUGUACAGAAUGAAUUGGGGGAAGAUCGACGUCUCAAAAUGGAAAAACUACCUCGAAUUCUUCACAAACGCAUGGCAAUGGAUGAAUACCAAGAUCUUCUGGGGACAAGACCGAGUUUAUGGGAAGAGGUUGAGGCCCUACACGAUGAGAGAAACAUUCAGAGGAAACAGAAUGAAUUGGGGGGAAAUCGACUACUCAAGCUUCGACAACAGCAGAUAUCACAAGAGACACUGCUCAGACCUUGGGAGAAGGGAACUGUUGUAAUUGAGACAGUGAAAGAGUUGGACAACUUCAAGGUGUCCACCCAGGGCCACAAGGUCAUGGGACCACAACACCCAACUCCUCCCCAAGUGGAGAGGACCAAUGCAAAUAGAGCCAGUCGCUACAGAGGGCUGAUCAACCCGCGACAAAAGGAACAGCAGAUAUCACAAGAGACACUGCGCAGACCUUGGGUUCCACCGGGCCAAAAUGACUUGGGCAAACUACGUCCAACUCCCCCACAAAAAGGGGUGAGGACGAAAACACAAACUGGCACUCAGUACAGAAGGCUGAUCAACCCAACAGAGUCCUCUGUGGAAACAGGUUGUCUGCAGAGGGGCGAUGAGGGAAGAAGAAACCUGGCAAAGGAUGAAUACCAGGAUGUUCUAGGGAGAAGACCGAGUGUAUGGGAAGAGGUCGAGGCCGUACACGAUGAGAGAAACAUUCAGAGUAAACUUGUACAGAAGGAAUUGGGGGAAGAUCGCCGAAGACUUGUAAACAGAGUCAAAAUACGUUUAGCAAGGCGGUAAGAGAUGCUAAACGACUGUACUCUGAGAAACUCCAACAACAGUUCUCAGCAAGUGACUCUGAUUCGGUUUGGAGAGGCCUCAAACACCUCACUAACUACAAGCCAAAAACCCCCCACUCCAUGAAUGACCUCCACCUGGCAGACGAGUUGAAUGAGUUCUACUGCAGAUUCGAAAGACAAGGUCCUGAUCCCAUCCCCCACAGCUCCACCAACCUGCCCCAGUCCCCUACCCCUCCCUCCCCCAGCCCAUCAGGUGCUCACGCCUCUUCAUCUAUAUCACCUUCCCCUCCCCCACCAGCAACGACCCUCUCUAUUCUGGAGAGAGACGUUGACCGGCAAGGCAGCCGGACUCCGUCUCCCCUCACACCCUGAAGCAUUGUGCUGACCAGCUGUCUCCGGUGUUCACUGACAUCUUCAACACCUCCCUGGAGACAUGCCACAUACCAGCCUUCUUCAAGGCCUCCACCAUCAUCCCUGUUCCCAAGAAGCCCAGGAUCACAGGACUCAAUGACUACAGGCCCGUCGCCCUGACCUCUGUAGUCAUGAAGUCUUUUGAACGGCUAGUCCUGACCCACCUGAAGUCCCUCACCCCCCGUCCUAGACCCCCUGCAGUUCGCCUACAGAGCCAACAGGUCUGUAGAUGAUGCUGUCAACAUGGCCCUCCACUACAUCCUCCAGCAUCUGGACUCCCCAGGAACCUACGCCAGGAUCCUGUUUGUGGACUUCAGCUCUGCUUUCAACACCAUCAUCCCGUCUCUGCUGCAGGACAAACUCUCCCAGCUGCACGUGCCCGACUCCACCUGCAAGUGGAUCACAGACUUCCUGUCUGACAGGAAGCAGCACGUGAAGCUGGGGAAACAUGUCCCAGCCUCUCGGACCAUCAGCACCGGUUCCCCCCAAGGCUGCGUUCUUUCCCCUCUGCUCUUCUCCCUGUAGACCAACAGCUGCACCUUCAAUCACCAGUCCGUCAAGCUCCUGAAGUUUGCGGAUGACACCACCCUCACUGGACUCAUCUCUGGUGGGGAUGAGUCCGCCUACAGGUGGGAGUCUGACCAUCUGGUGUCGUGGUGCAGCCAGAACAACCUGGAGCUCAACGCUCUAAAGACAGUGGAGAUGGUUGUGGAUUUCCGGAGGAACAGAGCCCCACCCUCCCCCAUCACCCUGUGUGACUCCCCCGCCACUAUUGUGGAUUCCUUCCGUUUCCUGGGCUCCAUCAUCACCCAGGACCUCAAGUGGGAGCUGAAGUGAAGAACUGGCUAAACGUUUUUGGUUUGGUUUACUCCGUGUGCUACGGUUUUCCCAAAAAAACUUUAAAUCAAUCAGACUAAUGUAAUCAAGUUAAGAUAAGACAUAAUUUGGUAGUUUACACUAUGGCCGUGCCGUCGGAUGGUUGUCGUUCUGUUAAACUGGUUGAAUCUUUUUUAGUGGGUUUACUCCGUGUGCUACGGUUUUCCCAAAAAAAUCAGAUGAGCAUACUCUCUGGGCCCCCCUCCGUGAUCCUUACAACCAGGACGAAUUGUUUCACAGUCCACUCAUCAGCACUGGUGGAUAAAGCUUCAGGAAGAACUGGUCAAAGAGCUCCGACGGCUGGGACGAUUCAGCUACCUUUCAGACUACCCUGGCAACGUGUUUUUUCCACAGCACAUAGAAAAAAAUCUAGCCAUUUAAAAAUAUAUAUUUGGCACCUUUGAGCAACUUUUGUAAAGUGACUCGAAUGCUAAAUUGCACCCAUUUUCCCUUCAAAUGACACAAAAAUAUGUGCUUGGCUGCAAAAGUGCAUUGUGCGUGACUUGAACAGCAGGCGCUCAGCUCGUGCACAACAGCCUGGAGACAGCUGGAAAGAGAUGCCUAGUGCACACAUCAUCA